rnacentral:rRNA from 1 species
CCUACGGGUGGCAGCAGUGGGGAAUAUUGCACAAUGGGCGAAAGCCUGAUGCAGCCACGCUGCGUGUAGGAAGAAGGGUUUCGGCUCGUAAACUUCUAUCAACAGGGACGAAAGAAAUGACGGUACCUGAAUAACACGCCCCGGCUAACUACGUACCAGCAGCCGCGGUAAUACGUAGGGGGCACGCGUUAUGCGGAAUUACUGGGUGUAAAGGGUGAGUAGGCGGGAUGGUAAGCCAGAUGUGAAAGCCUUGGGCUUAACCCGAGGAUUGCAUUUGGAACUAUCAAGCUAGAGUACAGGAGAGGAAAGCGGAAUUCCUGGUGUAGCGGUGAAAUGCGUAGAGAUUAGGAAGAACACCAGUGGCGAAGGCGGCUUUCUGGACUGAAACUGACGCUGAGGCACGAAAGCGUGGGGAGCGAACAGGAUUAGAUACCCUGGUAGUC